AUUGCUUCCGCGAAUCUAAUUCGCAGCCACCUCCGCCGCUAUCGCCGACUUCGCGCCGCUCACCUCCGGUGCGCCGCCCAUCUCCGUCAUAGCCGAGGUUCUCCGACAACUCAAUAUCGCCCGUCCUGCACUCCGCGCAAACCCUAAACUCCGUUUCUUGCGGCUAAAUCUCUCCGAUCGCCACUAAAUUCCUGAGGACCAUCUGAGCCUACGACUCCACCACCACCGCCUCGACUCCCGCCGUCCCGAGCGCCUCCGGUAUGUGCUCACGAAGUUCGCUCCCCCGAUGACGAUCGAGUACUUGGUCUUCGUCUCGUUUGCCUUGACGAAUCGAGUCUCAUAGCUCGAAGGGAGGCCGAUAAGCGCAUACGAACUGAGCUUCUUGUACUCGGCGGGGCUCGAAGGGACCGGCGUUUUUGUCUCCGGGUUCAUCGGUUGGUGGUCAAUAGAGAUCCCAAGUUCACCAAUUUUGUCGAGUUUCGGACACACAAGGUUAUUUACGGGCGAUAUGUUGGACUGCUUUUCUCGCUCUGUGUUGACAUAACGGAUAACGAGCUUGUAUACUUGGAGUGCAUUCACUUAUUUGUAGAGAUUUUGGAUCACUUCUUCAGCAAUGUCUGUAUACUAGACUUGGUAUUCAAUUUUC